UACGGGGGGGGGCAAGCGUUGUUCGGAAUUACUGGGCGUAAAGGGUUCGUAGGUGGCCCGCUAAGUCACACGUGAAAUCCCUCAGCUUAACUGGGGAACUGCGUGUGAGACUGGCAGGCUUGAGUGCAGGAGAGGAACGCGGAAUUCCAGGUGUAGCGGUGAAAUGCGCAGAUAUCAGGAAGAACACCAAUGGCGAAAGCAGCUCUCUGGGACGGUACUGACGCUGAGACGCGAAAGCGUGGGGAGCGAACAGG
rnacentral:rRNA from 1 species